rnacentral:rRNA from 1 species
GGAGGAAACCAUGGGAUCGCAAGACCUUGCGCUCAUUGAGCGGCCGAUGCCUGAUUAGCUAGUUGGUGAGGUAAAGGCUUACCAAGGCGACGAUCAGUAGCUGGUCUGAGAGGACGACCAGCCACACUGGGACUGAGACACGGCCCAGACUCCUACGGGAGGCAGCAGUGGGGAAUUUUGGACAAUGGGGGAAACCCUGAUCCAGCCAUGCCGCGUGAGUGAAGAAGGCCUUCGGGUUGUAAAGCUCUUUCAGCCGGAACGAAACGGUCACGGCUAAUACCUGUGACUACUGACGGUACCGGAAGAAGAAGCACCGGCUAACUACGUGCCAGCAGCCGCGGUAAUACGUAGGGUGCGAGCGUUAAUCGGAAUUACUGGGCGUAAAGCGUGCGCAGGCGGUUUUGUAAGUCAGAUGUGAAAUCCCCGGGCUUAACCUGGGAACUGCGUUUGAAACUACAAAGCUAG